UGCACAAGUCGCAUAUCCAGAGGGCCAGAAGCUGAUUGAAUUUUGUGCUCUGCCAUAUCUUUCCAAGGGACGUAAAAGUCAGACACUGCAGCUGCAAGAUAAAACAUUGCAUGUGGCCCAAGAUUCCUCAUUGAUAUUGCAAUCAUUUGUAAGAUCUGAAGAUAUUCAAAAAUGGUUGUAAAAGGAAGUUUUAACAGGUGACCUGCUGCUACAGCAGCAUGAUGAUCAUUAAUGGCUCUCCUCACUGCUUCAGAACAUGAUUGCCGCACUUGAACAUUGGAGCCGUUAGUGAACUCAAAACACUCAAGCAGUGGAUCCUCAGGAAGAGAUCGACAGUAUGGCUGGCAACUUCCCCUCCUGUAUAAAAAUAUAACUGCAUAUUCAGCCUUGAUAAAAUACUCGGUGGAUGUGGCUCCUCUGUGACCUGAGCUGAAGUUAUCAAUAUAACGAACACAACGCUGUUCCAGGGGAACAGUAGUACCACCAGAAGUCACACACACAACCCUCCUAGCACUUCCAUUUCCUUGUGAAGCAGAAUUGAGUUGAAUGAAUUCCUUCAAUUUGUUUGCGAUACCAACUCUGUCUCGUAGAGGAGGAGCAGAAUCAAAAAACGAUUUGAUUUCUGCAUCAGUCACUAAUCCAUUUGUUGAUUCCAUUAGAAAUCCCCAAAAC
rnacentral:misc_RNA from 1 species